rnacentral:rRNA from 1 species
UGGGGAAUAUUGCACAAUGGGCGAAAGCCUGAUGCAGCAACGCCGCGUGAGGGACGACGGCCUUCGGGUUGUAACCUCUUUAGCAAGGAAGAAGCGAAAGUGACGGUACUUGCAGAAAAAGCGCCGGCUAACUACGUGCCAGCAGCCGCGGUAAUACGUAGGGCGCAAGCGUUAUCCGGAAUUAUUGGGCGUAAAGAGCUCGUAGGCGGUUUGUCGCGUCUGCUGUGAAAACCCGAGGCUCAACCUCGGGCCUGCAGUGGGUACGGGCAGACUAGAGUGCGGUAGGGGAGAUUGGAACUCCUGGUGUAGCGGUGGAAUGCGCAGAUAUCAGGAAGAACACCGAUGGCGAAGGCAGAUCUCUGGGCCGUAACUGACGCUGAGGAGCGAAACGGGUGGGGAGCAAACAGGCUUAGAUGACCCUGGUAGUCCACCCCGCUAAACGUUGGGAACUAGUUGUGGGUCCAUUCCACGGAUUCCGUGACGCAGCUAACGCAUUAAGUUCCCCGCCUGGGGAGUACGGCCGCAAGGCUAAAACUU